AAUUUCUUUAACGCAUUAACGCAUGCGCCAAAUGACCCGCCCAAUAUUUCCCGCUCUGCACUUGUCGCCGCUAUUUGCCGCCGCUAUUUGCUGCUCUAGAGUUUUGGCUGAGACACAAGAUGGAUACAGAACCGAAAGAAGUUGUUGGCCCUCUGGAUGGAAAGUUUGAAUAUAAAAAAAACAAAGACGGAACACUUAAUAAACAAGCAGUGAUUUGCACACUCUGCAAGAAGGAGUUUUCGUUUCACCGAAGCACUUCCAGCCUAAAGUACCAUAUCAACGCUAAGCAUGCGUUUGUCGGCGCUUCAAGUUCUGGGGCAAGACCAGGGGGCUUGCUUCAAACAACGCUCACCGAAGGCCGUGCAUUAAGUAAGUCUAUUUCUGAGAACUUGACCCAAAAAAUUGCCAAAUGGAUUGCAAAAGACUGUUGGCCGAUUAAUAUUGUCGAGGACAAGGGCCUCGCGGAAGUGUUACAAGUUGCUUCACGCGACGCAUUCUACAAGCCACCGUCAAGAGGCACAGUAAUGACUAAAAUCCACGACCUCUACAAAACGGAAAAAGAAA